GGGGAUUUAGCUCAAUGGUAGAGCGCCUGCCUAGCAAGCACAAGGCCCUGGGUUCGGUCCCCGCUCCG
rnacentral:tRNA from 1 species